AUACGAAAGUUGCAAGCGUUGUUCGGAUUUACUGGGCGUAAAGAGAUCGUAGGUGGUUUGUUAAGUUGGAUGUGAAAUCCCGGGGCUCAACCUCGUAACUGCAUCCAAAACUGGCAGACUUGAGUUCGGGAGGGGUAAGCGGAAUUCCGUGUGUAGCAGUGAAAUGCGUAGAUAUACGGAGGAACACCUGAGGCGAAGGCGGCUUACUGGACCGAUACUGACACUGAGGAUCGAAAGCGUGGGUAGCAAACAGGAUUAGAUACCCUAGUAGUCC
rnacentral:rRNA from 1 species